UUUUUUUUUUUUUUCCUUUUGAAAAGUCUCCAUUUUAUUUCUUAUUUUUGAAGGCUGGCAAGUGCCCAUAGAUAGCACUUAAUCUUAAUUCUUGAGGCUGUGCUUUGAUUUACCAGAGUUAUUUGCCAUCAAAAGAAGGUUUCAUUUAUUUACAAUAUUUGACAUAAAGGAACCAAUGCUGAUUUUUUUUAAAUGUUGCUUUGUACAUUGCAGUAUCUUUGAGGGCAAGUUUAUUAUGCUUUCAUUUUAGUCUGAUAUGGUAAUCAUUAAAUUGCAAAAAAUGUGCAAGAAGAUUGACAUGGACCAGUCCUACACCAUUUAUGGCAUAUUGGGGUAUAUCAAUUAAGUCAGAAUGAUACAGAUAAGACAGAAAUAUCAGUGGAACAGAAUGGGGAGCCCAGAGAUAAAUUCAUAUAUAAAUAGUGAAGGCAGGAAGGUAACCCUGAAAAUCAGUGAAAAGGGAAGAAUUAAUAACCGGUACUGGGACAAUUAGGUAUGUAUUUUUUAAAAUCAUAUUCUCAUCUUACUCAAAAAAUAAAGUAUAAAACCCAAAACACGCAAAUACAAAAGAAAACGUAACUUAAUAUUUAUCAAAGGUAGAAGUCAACCUAAAACUAACAGAAGAAUGAACAAAGACAAUUAUCAAGAGAUUCAACCAUAUCAAAAUUUCACAUUUCUGUAUAACAAAAAAAAAGUGGGGGGGACAUUCUUUAUGAUCCAAAGAACUCACGAAAUCACUUGAAAAGACGCUAAAAUUAGCAUAUAAAUCAGAGGAAAAUGACAAUAGGCUAUUCAACAAAGAAGAAACACAAAUCCUGUAAUAGAAUUUGAAACAUAGUCUAACUCACUUAUAAAGAGAGGCAAAACAUAAUAAGAAGAUGCCUUUUGUAGCCCAGGCAUUUGAAAAAUGGUGUGUUUGAGUGGGAAUAUCCAUUGCACUGCAAAAAAAAAAAAAAAAAACCAAACAGAUACAACCACUUUAAAGUAUCUGGCGAUAUGCACAUCAAAAGCCUUGAUAAUGAUAUGAUUUUAUCCCAGAAAGUCUACUUCUCCUUAAAUUAACAUAAGCAGUCUGUGCCUUUCUUACCUCAUAAAUCUUUGAAUCUGUCUUUGAAAGUCAACACAGGCAAGUCAGGGAGCAGACCAUGUUGUUACAGGGCAGGAAUGGCUGGCUACAAGGUCUGUGAGCCCCAGAGCAAAAGGAAAACGUGGGGCUUUUAUUAAAAAAUGAUUAAGAACUUCAAGAGGGCAACAACAGAGCAACAAAGCAAGUGUGGGGCCCUUUAGAGCACAGGGCAGGAAACUCAGGGGCCUGCCCUGUUGGGGGACAUUCUGGACCUAGACUGCUGGGUUGCCUGGGGAGGUGAUUCUCUUAUUUUGGCCAUGCAAGCACUGCCCUUCAGAUCCUGCCUUGGGAUGCAGUAGGAACAGAUGGUGGAUGCUGAGAGGAAGAACCCCUCUUCUUUCCAGAGGGGGAGGAGGGAGUAAGAUCCUGGAUAUGACGCACCAGAGUAGAGACAGGUACCAAAGCCUGGGCAUUUGCUAACGCAACCCAAAACUAUAAAACCAUCUCCCAGUCUCUCCUAAGGGUAGCGCAGUCUUUGAGGCAUGAGCCUGCUGUGACCCUCCUUUGCCUGGCAAAGCAAUAAAGCUGUUUUUUCUCCUCCGCCCAAAACUCCGUCUCUGCAUUUCUACUAGGCACCUGUGAGCAGAGGCUGAGUUCCGGCAACAGGAUGCUGGUACCAUUUACAGUCAUUCAGCACUUAAAAAGCAAUAAUCGUAGCUGACAUUUACUGCCAUCAGGGGACUGUACCAAUUUGUUUUUAUGUAGACAUUCUCACUGCAUUGACAGUCCUAUCUUCUACAUCCCAGGAGUCACAGCCUCUCAUACACUACAGCUGGCAAAAAGACUCCACUCUCAGGCAAAGUUUACUGCUUGAGUCUAGUUUCUAGACAAUGCUCUAGAAAAAGGGAAAUGGAAACAGGAAAUUCACAGCACACUUCUUUUCACAUGUAAAGAUUGACCAAGUUUCUACGUCAGGAGUUCCCGUCAUGGCUCAGCGACAAUGAAUCCAACUAGGAACCAUGAGGUGGCAGGUUCGAUCCCUGGCCUAGCUCAGUAGGUUAAGGAUCCGGUGUUGCAGUGAGCUGUGGUGUAGAUCGCAGAUGCAGCUUGGACCUGGCGGCUGUGGCUGUGGCGUAGGCCAGCAGCUAUAGCUCCAAUUCGACCCCUNGUCCUGGGAACCUCCAUAUGCCACGGGCACAACUCUAAAAAGCAAAACAAAAAAA
rnacentral:lncRNA from 1 species